GCAGACUAUAUUGAGAAGUUAUGAUUAAGAUUAUGAUUAGUCACUAACUGUAAUUACUCUGUUUCUGGAAUCCAGUGAAGCUUUUCUCAGCCAUAAAUAAGAUCUUUCGGCAAAAGCAUUCAACCGAGGGAUUCCAGUUUGAUGGCAACAUUAGUACUUUGUAAUAAUAUCUUAGAUUAUCGAAGAAGUGAUACAUAGCAAAUAGGCAGAACGCCUCUUUUUUGAUAUUACAAAACCCUUCAAAAUGCUUAACAGAAUGUAAUGCAUCCAAAAGAAACUAGGACGUUACACUUGGUAAAAGCUCUUCAAACACCAUGGUGCGUUCUCCCUGAACUAAAACGAUGGAGCAGACAAAAAGCAGGCAACACACCUUUUCCAUAGUUGCUGGAGUUUUGACUUAACAAAUCAAAAAGAGAAGUGUUUUCUGUAAAGAUAGAUUCCUGUAACUGUUUGGAGGUACGUUAUACCUACCUAUUUAUUAAGACUUUUCUGGAGAGAUAAGAGAAACCACACGUUUUCGUUUGGAAAGCUUUAUUUCAUGGAUUAAUGACUAACCACUUUUUCUUUUCCACUGGCAAGAUGCAUAUAGGUGAGAGAAUGUGUGCGUAGGAGCAGGGAUUGAUGAAGUGAAUGAAAAUCUGUCCCAUUCGCAUAUUGGACAGGAAAAAAGUGAGAGGUGAAUUCCCAUUUUCGGUAUGAGUCAGAUGCUACAAUGUGAUGCAUCUGUAAAUAUACGAAGAUGCUAUAGGCU
rnacentral:lncRNA from 11 species